rnacentral:sRNA from 1 species
CGUCACCGAUCCCACCGCCUGCCCACUUCCGGGACAUGGCACCAAUCCGAUCGCCAAUGGCUCGCCGAAUGU